rnacentral:rRNA from 1 species
UACCAGCACCCCGAGUGGUCGGGACGAUUAUUGGGCCUAAAGCAUCCGUAGCCGGUUUUACAAGUCCUCCGUUAAAUCCAACUGCUUAACAGAUGGGCCGCGGAGGAUACUAUAAGACUAGGAGGCAGGAGAGGCAAGCGGUACUCAGUGGGUAGGGGUAAAAUCCGUUGAUCCAUUGAAGACCACCGGUGGCGAAGGCGACAUCCUGGACCGGCAUUGACGCUGAGGCGCGAAAGCCAGGGGAGCAAACGGG